GUGGGGAAUAUUGGACAAUGGGCGAAAGCCUGAUCCAGCCAUGCCGCGUGUGUGAAGAAGGUCUUCGGAUUGUAAAGCACUUUAAGUUGGGAGGAAGGGUAGUAACCUAAUACGUUGCUACUUUGACGUUACCGACAGAAUAAGCACCGGCUAACUUCGUGCCAGCAGCCGCGGUAAUACGAAGGGUGCAAGCGUUAAUCGGAAUUACUGGGCGUAAAGCGCGCGUAGGUGGUUCAGUAAGUUGGAAGUGAAAUCCCCGGGCUCAACCUGGGAACUGCUUUAAAAACUGCUGAGCUAGAGUACGGUAGAGGGUGGUGGAAUUUCCUGUGUAGCGGUGAAAUGCGUAGAUAUAGGAAGGAACACCAGUGGCGAAGGCGACCACCUGGACUGAUACUGACAUUGAGGUGCGAAAGCGUGGGGAGCAAACAGGAUUAGAUACCCCAGUAGUCC
rnacentral:rRNA from 1 species